rnacentral:rRNA from 1 species
AAAAGGAAGUGAUUCCGGCGGAGGAUGGGCAUGCGGCGCAUUAGCUGGUUGGCGGGGUAACGGCCCACCAAGGCGACGAUGCGUAGGGGUUCUGAGAGGAAGGUCCCCCACACUGGUACUGAGACACGGACCAGACUCCUACGGGAGGCAGCAGUGAGGAAUAUUGGUCAAUGGGCGGGAGCCUGAACCAGCCAAGUCGCGUGAGGGAAGACGGUCCUAUGGAUUGUAAACCUCUUUAGGCGGGGAGCAAUGCCGGGCACGCGUGCCCGGAGGGAGAGUACCCGCAGAAUAAGCAUCGGCUAACUCCGUGCCAGCAGCCGCGGUAAUACGGAGGAUGCGAGCGUUAUCCGGAUUUAUUGGGUUUAAAGGGUGCGUAGGCGGAUUUUUAAGUCAGCGGUAAAAUGUCCGGGCUCAACCCGGGCCGGCCGUUGAAACUGGGGAUCUUGAGUGGGCGAGAAGUAUGCGGAAUGCGUGGUGUAGCGGUGAAAUGCAUAGAUAUCACGCAGAACUCCGAUUGCGAAGGCAGCAUACCGGCGCCCGACUGACGCUGAGGCACGAAAGCGUGGGGAUCGAACAGGAUUAGAUACCCUGGUAGUCCACGCAGUAAACGAUGAAUGCUAGUUGUCCGG